UCCGUUGUAGUCUAGUGGUAAGGAUGUGCGGCUCCAAACCGCGAGGCCCGGGUUCAACCCCCGGCAACGGAA
rnacentral:tRNA from 1 species